UACGAGGGGGCGAGCGUUGUUCGGAAUUAUUGGGCGUAAAGGGUGCGUAGGCGGUUCCGCAAGUCCUGUGUGAAAUCUUCGGGCUCAACUCGAAGUCUGCACGGGAAACUGCGGGGCUUGAGUGUGGGAGAGGUGAGUGGAAUUCCACGUGUAGCAGUGAAAUGCGUAGAGAUGUGGAGGAAUACCGAUGGCGAAGGCAGCCCCCUGGGCCAAUACUGACGCUCAUGCACGAAAGCGUGGGGAGCAAACAGG
rnacentral:rRNA from 1 species